GGGUCGGUAGCUUAGCUGUUAAAGCGCUUGUCUAGUAUACAAGAGUCCUUGGUUCAAAUCCUAGCCGAGCAC
rfam:Aedes aegypti strain Liverpool supercont1.41 genomic scaffold, whole genome shotgun sequence.